UACGUAGGGUGCAAGCGUUGUCCGGAAUUAUUGGGCGUAAAGAGCUCGUAGGCGGUCCGUCACGUCGGCUGUGAAAACCCGGGGCUCAACUCCGGGCCUGCAGUCGAUACGGGCGGACUAGAGUACUGCAGGGGAGACUGGAAUUCCUGGUGUAGCGGUGAAAUGCGCAGAUAUCAGGAGGAACACCGAUGGCGAAGGCAGGUCACUGGGCCGCAACUGACGCUGAGGAGCGAAAGCAUGGGGAGCGAACAGG
rnacentral:rRNA from 1 species